rnacentral:rRNA from 2 species
CAGCCGCCGCGGUAACACCAGCCCCCCGAGUGGUGGGGAUGAUUAUUUGGCCUAAAGCGUCCGUAGCCGGCUCUGUAAAUCUCUCGUUAAACCCAACGUCCUAAGCGUUGGACUGCGAGGGAGACUGCAGAACUAGAGGGUGGGAGAGGUCAGCGGUAUUCCUGGGGUAGGGGCGAAAUCCAUUGAUCCCAGGAGGACCACCAGUGGCGAAGGCUGCUGACUAGAACACGCCUGACGGUGAGGGACGAAAGCUGGGGUAGCGAAUCGGAUUAGAUACCCGAGUAGUCCCAGCCGUAAACGAUGCAGGCUAUGUGUUGGGUUGGCCACGUGCCAGCUCAGUGCCACAGGGAAGCCAUUAAGCGUGCCGCCUGGGGAGUACGGCCGCAAGGCUGAAACUUAAAAAAGGUGGCGGGGGAGCAC